rnacentral:rRNA from 1 species
AUACGGAGGGCGCAAGCGUUGUUCGGAAUCAUUGGGCGUAAAGCGCGUGUAGGCGGCUUGGCAAGUCGGACGUGAAAGCCCGGGGCUCAACCCCGGAACGGCGCCCGAAACUGCCUGGCUAGAGUCCCGGAGAGGAGGGCGGAAUUCCCGGUGUAGAGGUGAAAUUCGUAGAUAUCGGGAGGAACACCAGCGGCGAAGGCGGCCCUCUGGACGGUGACUGACGCUGAGACGCGAAAGCGUGGGGAGCAAACAGGAUUAGAAACCCCAGUAGUCC